ACUCCUACGGGAGGCAGCAGUAAGGAAUAUUGGGCAAUGGACGCAAGUCUGACCCAGCCAUGCCGCGUGAAGGAUGAAUGUCCUAUGGAUUGUAAACUUCUUUUCUGAGGGAGCAUAAUGAGAGUACUUCAGGAUUAAGGAACGGCAAAUCACGUGCCAGCAGCCGCGGUAAU
rnacentral:rRNA from 1 species